rnacentral:lncRNA from 1 species
GGGUCGAAUUAGAAAAAGACUGUUCGCGCUCAUCGUCGUUCGACAGUCACGCGAGCGAGUAAGCGACCAAUGUCUCCGCCCUUUCGCUGUCGUUAUCGCCGUCAGCGGAAGCAAUAGGGUAGCGGCAAUAUUUCUGUAGUGAAGGUCGUAAUAUCUCACGUGUGCAUAUUCAAUCAUUUCCGUUAUUAGGUGACUAGUGUACAUAGGCCUGUGAACGGUAGCGAUGGCAAUGGCAAAGGCAGCCGCCGCAGCCAUGCUCAGUGCGACACAGAUGUAAAUGGCAUUAAUCAAGAGCCCUGCAUCGACCUCAGAACCGUCCCCGACGCACGGCCUGCCGUCGCUAUCUUCUGCUUAGAGUUCCAAUGGCCAGGAAGAAUCUACAGCCGAAUCUGCGGCGGUGAGGACCGACCGAGGCAGGAUAGCUAAGAUUGCGUUAGUCAGGCUAUCGUCUACUUUGCGCAUCCUACGCAUACGAACGUAUACCGUAGCCGUCGUCCUGUAGACAAUUAUAAUCAAUGCUCAACCAAGAUUGUGGAGGGUAUUUCCAGAAGUACAUUACGUCCAUAAUGAACGUCGAGUUAGACAGGUUGAAGCAACCCCUCGGUUAUUAGCUAUGAUUGCGACAGCUUUGACUCCCGUCAAGCUGCCCCCGACGAACACCACCCCUCGUGGUCCAUCGCUGCCUUCCAGUUGCGUAUUAGGUAGAGAACUCAUCAGUGAUUUCAACGCUUCGUCAUGUAAUCAGAUCAGCCAGGCCAAAUCGGGCUGAAAAGCAAUACCAACAAUGACCAAAAUAAGGACAGCAGCAAGGUCCGAGACAGUCGCAGAAACACCGGCACCGUCAGCAGAGGCGGUCGCAUUAACGAAACUAAUAACGAUGCCCCAGCCGGACGUAAUCCUGGAGUAGUGUCCUUUCUCACUGGAAUGCCUGCCGUCGGCAUUUGGUGCCAUGAAUUAUAACUUAAAUGCUGAGAGUGCGGAAACUGAAUCGCCCGUAACUUAACUCCAGACCAGUAUUCUACGUGCACUUUACGAGACCUUCAUCUACAAAAACCCCGAUGUGCACAUACAAUUGCCAUAGACGAGUGUGGUCAAUCCUUACCACCAGCCGAAGAAAGAAACAAUGGCGUCAUACUAGAGGUGAAACAAUCAAUGCACCCUACUAUUUCGGGUUCCUCAGCAAACUCAUGACACAGCAACCGGAAGCAUACAGUGUCCUUACUUGAGGACAACGCUAGACCUCAUUGCCAUUCCUCUAUUACUUCAUGGAUUGGAGAAAGGAACAUGCAACGUGGUCUUGCAGCGGCUUAUUCUACCCUCCUAAUUCAAUGUGAUUGCGGGCCCUUCCCAAGGCAACUGGUGGGAAAACGUAUUUCACUAUUGACUUACAUGGAGAAACCUAGCGAAACGACAUAUGAGAACGCAAAUCUUCCGAAACUGCGAGGACACUGGGAAAAGAGGUGUAAACAAAACAGCUUUUUCGGAUCACUAAUGAGGAGCUGUGUAGAUCUCGGCGGAGUGCUGUUAUAACUAUGGAAGCGCGCUUACGGAAGAACCAGUUUGUAUCUGCUUUUAUACGCUUUUCAAGUCAGGGAUACCUUUGUUCGAUGGGAUGAAUCACACUGGUGGGUUCGUAUCAGCAACCUGUGGCUCAAAAACUUACGGAAGAUUCAGUCGACAGUAAUUGCAA